ACGGAAGGCAGCAGUGGGGAAUAUUGGACAAUGGGGGAAACCCUGAUCCAGCGACGCCGCGUGAGUGAAGAAGUAUUUCGGUAUGUAAAGCUCUAUCAGCAGGGAAGAUAAUGACGGUACCUGACUAAGAAGCCCCGGCUAAAUACGUGCCAGCAGCCGCGGUAAUACGUAUGGUGCAAGCGUUAUCCGGAUUUACUGGGUGUAAAGGGAGCGUAGACGGCGAGGCAAGUCUGAAGUGAAAGCUCGGGGCUCAACCCCGGAACUGCUUUGGAAACUGUUUUGCUAGAGUGCAGGAGAGGCAAGUGGAAUUCCUAGUGUAGCGGUGAAAUGCGUAGAUAUUAGGAGGAACACCAGUGGCGAAGGCGGCUUGCUGGACUGUAACUGACGUUGAGGCUCGAAAGCGUGGGGAGCAAACAGGAUUAGAUACCCUGGUA
rnacentral:rRNA from 1 species